UGGACUCUGAUUCAUUUUGCCCGAACUUCAAUCUGUUUGAAGAUGUUCGGAGUGAAUCGGUUUACGUGCUGAAUCCUUCAGGAAACUACGUUUCUUCCGCAGCUGCCUUUCGCCCCCAUUAAUCAGCCAUUAAUAUUGUGUAAACCAAAACCGUUGGCAGCCGUCAGAUGCUUUUCAGAAAAUAUGAUUGUUUUCAGGCGGCUUUUGAAAUUUAAUUCUAUUCAGUACGCUGGAAUUCUGAUUCGGUUUUUGCAUUUAAAUUUAAAUAUAAAUUGACACGUGCCAGCCAGCCUUCGCAAACAAUCAGGACUCGCUGUCACGCAAAAAGGUCCGAUCCACGAGGAACCACGAUGUGGAUACACGUGUAUGACUGAUUAUUUUGAACUCAUCUUUGGGUGAUUGCCGAGUUCUUGGUUUUCGAAGUGGUUCUCUUUCAUGUGCUUUAGCACAUCUGUGGGUUUCUGCUUAUGGGGCUGCUUUUAAUGAGGUCCGAUGGCCUGUACAAAUUGGGUGCGACGUUAUAAGGAUUCAUUUCUGAAAGCCACCACUUCAAGCUCAUUGAAAGGAAAAUGAUUCGUUGACCAACUUAAAGCUCGUAAUGACAGACAAUUUAUUUCUGCGGCCUCGUGACUGCAAAUUGGAACAGUGCCACGCCCACAAAUAAACUUUUUCUUGGGUGGAGCAACACUGAUGAUGACAAUCAUUCCCAUCGAAAAGUUGAUAUCAAUGUUGAUGAUCUCUAGGCCAGCCAAAAGUCGAAACUUCUUCAUUGUUAUCUAUGGAAUUUUGGGGGUGGUGAUAAAUGCGAUGGGGAGGUGACGCCACAGAAGUGUCGCCAGCGGAGGCUUCGAUGAAAUGGAAAAUAUAAACAAAAUCAUUUGUCAACACAUUUUGAAACAGCUCUGCAAACGCUGUAUUGUGGUCCGAAAAUCAAUGCUUGGAGCCUUCGAUUUGCACAAAAGGCAGCUUGUGAGAAAGGAAGCGGAUUUGGAAGCCGAAGGACUAGAACAAGUAUAAUAAUACAAUCUGUUGUUUUAGAGUUGUUGAAUUAAAUUCCUUAAGUAAAUAAAGAACACUUGUCCUUUGCA